GGGCCGUUAGCUCAGUUGGUAGAGCAGAUGACUCUUAAUCAUCGGGUCGUAGGUUCGAUCCCUACACGGCCCACCA
rnacentral:tRNA from 1 species